UUGGUUCUUCCGUAUGCUUUUCCCCCCUCCCCUUCACCUGCUCGAGAACGUCAAUUGUUUGAAAAGUAAAUAGUGGAGAAAGGUUACUUCAAUUUAUAUUUGAUAUCCUUGUCCAACUUUCGAUGAUAGCUAAAGAUCUGAUGGGCAUACUUUAAGAGCUGAAAUUUUCAUAGUUAAGUCAGGCUCCAAAUUGAUAUGAAAUCGGUGGCUUUUUUUUUUCCAGAUGGAAUAGGGACAGGACCUGAAGUGCGAUUUUCUUUUAUUGGAGCAAAUCUAUGUCCUCAAGAAUGUCCUUGUCAUCAAUUUAAAAUGCCAACAGCUUCACAAGGACUUUGUAGCUUGCGCUCCCAAUACAUAUGAAGCAUAAUUGUAUGUGUAGGUGUGUGGUGAUAAUUGUGAAUGGAGCAAUUAUACUUGCCCCGGAUAAGGGGUCAUAGUGGAAAGAAUAUUAGCUAGAGUAUAUCUAAAGGGUGGAUGAACAUGUUAGGCUCAGCCAAAGGUUGCUGCUGAUGAUAAACCUGGAUAAUAGGAAUGGAAGGAUGCUCACUGGAGAUGAAAGGAAGGAUAUUAACAAGAGUUAAAAUUGGGCAAAAUAGGAAGGUGAUGGUGACGAUGAUCUAGAUGAUGACUGGCUAACAGGUGAUGGCUGGGGCCGUCAUAUGCCCUUGGUAAAUCAUAGAUGGGUAUUGUCUGUCAUGAAAAUGUUCUGGAAUUGAAAGUAAAAAAUAAAAAAAUAAGAGUAACUCGGGCAUGUAUAUACAGCACAAUUAUAUUUAACCGGGGCCACGUUCAAAAAGAAAAAGAAAAGAAAGAAGAGAAUGAAAGGUGACGGAAUGGUGAUUAUAUUUAACCCAGUUUCAAAUUUUAAUACAUUUUUUCCACGUUAGUGCAAUUAUUGUACCUCUUUAUUACAUUCCAUAGUUGUGUCAGUUAAUUCUUAAAAAGAAAAAAAGUGACUCGGGCAUCUAUAUACAGCACAAUUAUAUUUAAGUGGGGCCAAGUUCAAAAAGAAAAGGAAAAGAAAGAAGAGAAUGAAAGGUGACGGGAUGGUGAUUGUAUUUAACCCACUUUUGAAUUUUAAUGCGCUUUUUUCCACAUUACUGCAACUAUUGUACCUCUUUAUUACAUUCCAUAGUUGUG
rnacentral:lncRNA from 1 species